UCCCUCUCAGGGUCAUACCUGGAGAGUUUUCAAUAUACUACCAGUCUCAACUAUGGGAGGGAGAGUCAAGCAGAGGCCUAUCCAUUCCAUUCCUAGCUUGGGCAGUGGCUAGCGAGUGGAAGGCAAUCUGCUACAAGU